UCCAUAGUGUUUCAUCUGUAGGUGCUGCAGUCCUACUUUAAGGCUCCAUAGUGUUUAAUCUGUAGGUGCUACAGUCCUCCUUCCAGACUCCAUAGUGUUUCAUCAGUAGGUGCUACAGUCCUCCUUCCAGACUCAAUAGUGUUUCAUCUGUAGGUGCUGCAGUCCUACUUUAAGGCUCCAUAGUGUUUAAUCUGUAGGUGCUACAGUCCUCCGUCCAGAGUCCAUAGUGUUUCAUCAGUAGGUGCUACAGUCCUCCUUCCAGGCUCCAUAGUGUUUCAUCUGUAGGUGAUUACAGUCCUCCUUCCAGACUCCAUAGUGUUUCUUCUGUAGGUGCUACAGUCCUCCAUUAAGGAUCCAUAGUGUUUCAUCUGUAGGUGCUACAGGUUUCCUUCCAGACUCCAUAGUGCUUCAUCUGUAGGUGCUGCAGUCCUCCUUCCAGACUCCAUAGUGUUUCUUCUGUAGGUGCUACAGUCCUCCUUUAAGGCUCCAUAGUGUUUAAUAUGUAGGUGCUACAGUCCUCCUUUAAGGCUCCAUAGUGUUUCAUCAGUAGGUGCUACAGUCCUCCUUCCAGGCUCCAUAGUGUUUCAUCUGUAGGUGCUACAGUCCUAAUUUAAGGCUCCAUAGUCUUUCAUCUGUAGGUGCUACAGUCCUCCUUUAAGGCUCCAUAGUGUUUCAUAUGUAGGUGCUACAGUCCUCCUUCCAGACUCCAUAGUGUUUCAUCUGAAGGUGCUACAGUCCUCCUUCCAGACUCCAUAGUGUUUCAUCUGUAGGUGCUACAGUCCUCCGUUAAGGCUCCAUAGUGUUUCAUCUGUAGAUGCUACAGUCCUCC
rnacentral:lncRNA from 13 species